ACAGUUUGCGGCGCUCCGAUUGGCUAAAAGUCUACAGUUCUAUGUUUCUACAGUUCUACGUUAGGAAUUGCACCACUGUCGACCCGACGCCUGCGAAUUCCCCAAAUGUGGGAAUCUCGACUGCAUAAUUUGUGGUAGUGGGGGACAGCAUACGCGCUCUCCCCUG